rnacentral:rRNA from 1 species
GGGAGGCAGCAGUGGGGAAUAUGCACAAUGGAGGAAACUCUGAUGCAGCAACGCCGCGUGGAGGAUGACACAUUUCGGUGCGUAAACUCCUUUAUAUGGGAAGAUAAUGACGGUACCAUAUGAAUAAGCACGGCUAACUCCGUGCCAGCAGCCGCGGUAAUACGGAGGGUGCAAGCGUUACUCGGAAUCACUGGGCGUAAAGCGCGCGCAGGCGGCUAUUUAAGUUGGAUGUGAAAGCGUACGGCUCAACCGUAGAACUGCAUCCAAAACUAUUUAGCUAGAGUGUGGGAGAGGAAAAUGGAAUUAGUUGUGUAGGGGUAAAAUCCGUAGAGAUAACUAGGAAUACCAAAAGCGAAGGCAAUCUUCUGGAACACUACUGACGCUGAGGCGCGAAGGCGUGGGGAGCAAACAGGAUUAGAUACCCUGGUAGUCCACGCAGUAAACGAUGAAUGUUAGUCGUCGGGUAGCUAGUCUAUUCGGUGGUGCAGCUAACGCAUUAAACAUUCCGCCUGGGGAGUACGGUCGCAAGAUUAAAACUCAAAGGAAUAGACGGGGACCCGCACAAGUGGUGGAGCAUGUGGUUUAAUUCGAAGAUACGCGAAGAACCUUACCUAGCCUUGACAUAUAUUAGAACACUUUAGAGAUAGAGUGGUGCCUUCGGGAGCUUUUAUACAGGUGCUGCACGGCUGUCGUCAGCUCGUGUCGUGAGAUGUUGGGUUAAGUCCCGCAACGAGCGCAACCCUCGUCACUAGUUACUAACGGUUCGGCCGAGGACUCUAGUGAGACUGCCUUCGUAAGGAGGAGGAAGGUGAGGACGACGUCAAGUCAUCAUGGCCCUUACGGCUAGGGCAACACACGUGCUACAAUGGCCAGGACAAUGAGAAGCGAUACCGCGAGGUGGAGCAAAUCUAUAAACCUGGUCUCAGUUCGGAUUGUAGUCUGCAACUCGACUACAUGAAGCUGGAAUCACUAGUAAUCGUAGAUCAGCUAUGCUACGGUGAAUACGUUCCCGGGUCUUGUACUCACCGCCCGUCACACCAUGGGAGUUGAUUUCACCCGAAGCGGGGAAGCUAAACUGGCUACC